UCUAUGAUGGCCAAAAAACACUGGAUUCUUGUCAUGGCGCCUCAAGACAGUACAAAGGGGGACAAGACCUUCUGGAAAUAAGGACGAUCCAAAAACAGAAGAAAAGGGAGGUCCUUUGCUUGACAGAAAACUAUGUUACCAAGAACAUCAGCUAGAUAAUGACCAAAGUGUAGAGGCCAUCUCUUUGAUGAAUCAUACAAGUGAACGUGAGGUCAUCAUGCAGAAGAUGAAGGCAACGUUUGAAUACAGAAAGCGCCUUGUCCAUGAUCCAGAGGGAUCCACCACCAUUCUCUCUGUUUUUUCUCGAUUCCUGGACACUAAAGGAUUGAUUCUUCAGGACUUCACACUCCUCUUUGGGUCAGAAACUGCUUCCAGACUUUUGGAAAGGUGGCCGAAAGGUUAUCAGACUAGGAGAAACCUUGACUUCCACUCCACUGCUGAAAAGAUUACUGUCAUCUGCCAAACAGAGCAAAGAAAGCAGCGAGGCACAGGAUUCCCCAGAGUGGGACAGUGAUAUAUCAUCCUUCCUUCUACUUUUGCAUCUCCUAUCACCCCAGGCUUCAGGAAGAAAGAAAAUCCAAAGGAUCAGUAUUUCACAGGCUAUUGACCAUCUGGUGGUGUUUCACAAAGCAUGCAGGAGUAUACAGGAACACCUUGAGCUGGAAGAGAAUCGUCAGCCAUACAUUCUUGCCUCAGGGAGCAGCAAGGAAGCCAUCAGUCACUACUUCAGUGUGGUGGAUAAAAAGCUCAUCCCCUGUCAAGAAUCAUCUUCACUGGCUGCCAUUGAUGAACUCUUCAAGAGCAGCUCCAGAUUGAUAUCUCUAGCGAGGUAAUGGUCACACCGUGGGUAAAGUGUCAAGGUACUGAGUAUCGCAGUGGUCUUGUUGUUUUCUUAGAGUUUGUUGAUGAUGCACCUGUUUUUGGAAAGAUUGUUACAAUUUUUAUUAAGGAUGGAAUUUAUUUUUUCGUGUAUGGAAUCAGAGUUUAUU